GAUGAACGCUGGCGGCGUGCCUAAUACAUGCAAGUCGAGCGAACGGACGAGAAGCUUGCUUCUCUGAUGUUAGCGGCGGACGGGUGAGUAACACGUGGAUAACCUACCUAUAAGACUGGGAUAACUUCGGGAAACCGUAGCUAAUACCGGAUAAUAUUUUGAACCGCAUGGUUCAAAAGUGAAAGACGGUCUUGCUGUCACUUAUAGAUUGAUCCGCGCUGCAUUAGCUAGUUGGUAAGGUAACGGCUUACCAAGGCAACGAUGCAUAGCCGACCUGAGAGGGUGAUCGGCCACACUGGAACUGAGACACGGUCCAGACUCCUACGGGAGGCAGCAGUAGGGAAUCUUCCGCAAUGGGCGAAAGCCUGACGGAGCAACGCCGCGUGAGUGAUGAAGGUCUUCGGAUCGUAAAACUCUGUUAUUAGGGAAGAACAUAUGUGUAAGUAACUGUGCACAGCUUGACGGUACCUAAUCAGAAAGCCACGGCUAACUACGUG
rnacentral:rRNA from 1 species